CCAUCUCUUGACCUCGUGAUCUGCCUGCCUCGACCUCCCAAAGUGAUGGGAUUACAGGCGUGAGCCACUGUGUCCAGAUGGGAUUUGUUACUUUUUAAACUCCCAGUUUGCUGAGGAGUAAAGCGAUGAGUAGGAAGCCUAGGUGUGUCUUGUCUGUGUGCUCAUAGCUGGUAUUGGAAUCUAUGAUCUCUCUUCUGCAUUUUCUCCCAGCUGUUAUGUUUUGUCACAGCCUGGCCUAGGUCAGUGUCUCGUGUCUGUAACUCACAAUAAAUGUGACGGGUCAGGCCGACUGGAGCCUGCUUACUUGUGUCAUUUUGAAUGAGUUAAAUUUCCUCCCAACAUUUCAGAUUCUUCAUCUCUGCUACAUGGUGACAAAAAUGGAAUCUGAACACUCAGGUUCUGGGGUGAGGAUGAAAUACUAUAUGCAAAGGUACCUAGUAGACUAUCUGACUAGAAAGUGAUAGAUUGAUAUUCAUUUCCUUACUACCUUAUUGUCUGGGCACUAGUUUUCUCCUCCAUAAAUUCAGGUCCUUCUAGCUUUAGAAUUAUUUGAUUCUAGGAAACUGAAUUUACUUCUGAGAUGAACUUUUACAGGGUUAAAAGCUCAUGGUUAGAAGGGUAGUCUUUCUUCCAAGUUCUAAAUCACUUAGGUCAUGUGAUUGUGCAUUUUCAUUUGCUUAGAUGUUCAGAAAAGACAAUCUAGUUUCCAGAUUGGAUCAAUUAUGCAAAAGGAUGAUUAUUUCCCUGUGGAGAAAAGUAAAUGAGUAAGACUUGGCCUUAGUUCAGGGAGGUACCAUAGAGAUUAGCUGAGUGUCCAAAGGCUUGGGCAGAGAAGCCUUUGGAGGAAUGAUGGAGUAUGAAGGAGUGGGGAACAGGGCCCUAGAGGGGACCAGAAAGAAAAACUACAAAGUAAGGGGUGAUGGGAAGCAAUGAAUAUUUCCCUCACAAAUCAGAGAAACCUCUGUGCCAAAUAUAAAGGUUUUGUAUUAUGUUUAGGUGUUCAUGAUCAGGAGUCAUAGACCUGAAUUGUUCAAAUCUCUGCUCCACCAUUUAUUGCCUGUAUCUAGGGCAAAUUUGGAGCCUUUCCCCAUUUGUUUCUUUAUCUGUAACAAUGGGAAUAAUAGGCCAACCUUAUACAGUUGUUGGGAGAAUCAAAUGAGACAUGUGCCAAAGUGCUUAGUGCCUUGUUUGGCAUCUAAUAAGCCUUGAUGAAAUGGCAGAAUCAUCAUCAACAACAACACUGCCAUUAUUAUCCUUAUUACAAAUGCUUGCACAGAGCUAUAAGGCUGGAAGAUUCCAAGAGGAUAACUAGAGCCCAUUUCAAUUCCAGUACCAGAAAAGAGGCUUCGGUGGUAUUACAGUUUCGUGUGGAGAACUUAUCCGCCUCAAGAACUACCCCAAAUAAGAUAACCAAACCCACAAGAUCAGGAACCUAGUAGAGAAGAUAGAGGUAAUGGUUAUCUGCCAAAUUCCUAUUUCAGCCACUAAGUUAAGGUUAACAUUUGCAUUUUGAUGGUUAAUUUAUGAAUAGAGUUCUGUGCCCCUAGUACUUACAAGGUAAGUGGGUGAAGUUUGAGCACCACCGGGUUGUGAUGGGCAAUGGGCAAUUUGUCUGUUUAACAAAGUAGAAUUUUCACAAAAUUCUUCAUCUGAGCCACUUAGGUCAACAAUAGGAACAAUAAAGUUUAUGGAAAUAAACAUCAUCACUCCCUCCCCCAAACAUAUUCACACACAAUACCUUACCUUUUGAAAAACAAAACAAAACAAUAACUAUGAGGUAGGCAGC
rnacentral:lncRNA from 1 species